AUUGAACGCUGGCGGAAUGCUUUACACAUGCAAGUCGAGCGGCAGCGGGAAAGUAGCUUGCUACUUUUGCCGGCGAGCGGCGGACGGGUGAGUAAUGCCUGGGAAAUUGCCCUGAUGUGGGGGAUAACUACUGGAAACGGUAGCUAAUACCGCAUAAUGCCUUUGGGCCAAAAAGGGGGACCUUCGGGCCUCUCGCGUCAGGAUAUGCCCAGGGGGGAUUAGCUAGUUGGUGAGGUAAUGGCUCACCAAGGCGACGAUCUCUAGCUGGUCUGAGAGGAUGAUCAGCCACACUGGAACUGAGACACGGUCCAGACUCCUACGGGAGGCAGCAGUGGGGAAUAUUGCACAAUGGGGGAAACCCUGAUGCAGCCAUGCCGCGUGUGUGAAGAAGGCCUUCGGGUUGUAAAGCACUUUCAGCGAGGAGGAAAGGUUGGUAGCUAAUAAUUGCCAGCUGUGACGUUACUCGCAGAAGAAGCACCGGCUAACUCCGUGCCAGCCGCCGCCGUAA
rnacentral:rRNA from 1 species